GGGAAGGAGGAGAGAGGAGGCGGCGGCGGCCUGCGGCCGGCCAUGGCUGCCGGCGGCGGCGGCGGCUGGGUAGGAGAGGGAGGAGAGGAACCCUAACCCUAGGCUAAUGAUAUCAUGAUGGAGAGAAUAAUGGCUUAUAUUCCUCCAAACCCUAGAAGAGUGGGAUAUAUAGAUCUUAUACAUGGGCCUCUAGAUGUGCCUCUAUACAUGAGCUCACAUAUACACCAACAGAAGCCAUUAAGAUACCUAAUGCAGUGGUAAGGGUAGUUCAUCUGUGUCUCCAAAGGUUUUAAUGGUUGUCUAUACUCCUGUCAUUGACAGGUAUGUAUCACUGGCCAUCUUUUUAAGGAAGGGACCAACUUAUGAGCCAAUGUCGACAUCAACUGUCACUGACAGAUAUGUAUCACUUCUUGUGAAGCUUCAGUUAUCAGUUGGUAGGCAUCUAUACAUUCGAGAUAAGGUAUAUAUGAUAUCAUGGCAUUUGCGGUGAUGAGCGGGUGGUAUAUAUGAUAGAAAAAGAUCUUACUCAUAUUUAGUGGGUCCCCAUACUACUGCUUUAGAAUCGCAACAUGUACAGAAGCCUACACAUCCCCUAGGUGAGAUAAGGUGGUUGCUAUUGUAAGGGGGCCGUUCUUUCUCUCUAUAUCACAAAGAUACACAGCCCUCCUUUGUGUUAGAGGAAAAUACAGCUUUAAAAUCAUUGAUUGAAGUAAUCAUAAGUAAACUUACAAGAGCUGUGUAUUUUGUAUAUUAUCUUAUGUUUUAAGCUAUCCCAUGUUAUUUUUUGUUCAUCUGAUAAACAUGGUUUUUGUUAUUACUAAUGCUGCUAUACAGUUUACUAGCUUUGUAAGGCAUUACAUAUCUGAAAAGUUCUUCAGGCUGAAGAAACAGGUAUGAUAAAUUUUUAAGUAAAUCACAGUUUUUUCAAAUUUUUUACAGACAACCUUGAUUAUAUCCAUGCCCUUCUAUCAUAAUUUUUUCAGCUUAUUUUGAACCCAUAACUGAAUCUUUGGGCAUGUAUCUGAAAGGUUUUGAACAAAAGAGAAUUACUAGUAAAAAUGAGCAAGGAAUGACGACCUGUAGUGAGAUUUGCUCAUGACUUUUGUACAAUUACUUGGGGCUGAUAUCCUCAAAGACCAGCUUUACUAACAUGAUGUUAUAUUUCUGCAAUUUUAUUCAACAUGUCAAUGUCAAUUAGUUAACAUGUGUAUUUUUUAUGGUAAGUAUGCUAAAACAUCUUGACUAUAUUGUUUCAAUGGCAUCCCUUCUGUUUGACUUUACUGGGUUUUGUCUGAUUCUUUUACAGUUAAAUUUUCUGAUUCUUUUAUUGUUAAUUUUUUCUGAUUCUUUUAUAGUAAGUUCUUUUGGGUACAAUGCCACCAUCAUUAUUGUUUGUGUGCCCUUCUAAUAUGAAUAAACCUAACUUCAUGUAAUGUGAUGCUGUGUACUCAUUGACCUAGAGAAUGAUGGUUUAGAUGAAUGCUUGGGACUCAAUAUACUAGCUUGCUAUUUUGAUUGGUAUGUUCUACUUUUUCACAUAUAAGACUGGUUUUAUUUAAUUUGAGUUCUGGCUUGCAGUGUAUUACCAGUGGUUGUUUUGCUAACGAAAGAAGAAGUGGCUGCAAUCUGAAACGUAUUAGCACUCGCUCCAUGGCUUGACAUUCUCAUAUGCUGAGUUAAGCGGUAUAUCUGUUCUUUGUUUAACCCUGGAAGAAACCUAGCUGAGGAUGACCUCUCACCUAAAAGCCGAAGGAUCGAGAUACACGAGAGGUAAAAGCUUAGUUUUCUACAUACUAUCGCCAAUGUUGCAGAGAUCUGUUAGGAAACCUUUUCCUUUUUUUUUGGGAGCAAGGUAAGAGGCUAAGAGCACUGCUAAUUUCAUUAAGAGAGGAAAAGUAUUUUUUUCGAAACAAAAGAGGAAAAGUUUUUUUCGAAGCAAGAAAGGAAAAGUUUUUUUACAGAGUCUUUUAACUAUUUAUGGCCUGAGAAGAAAACCAGACCACCAAGUAGCUAACAAGAAUGAUGACAAGCUAAACAUCAGACAACUUCUAAUCUGCCAGAAACCAACCAUCAUUUCUUUAGCACAGCUUGCUGGUUGGUGAUGAGCAACCGAGUUCCUACUGGAUGGGAAGAACGACCUGUUGGUGAUCAAGCUCCUGGCAAUGAAAAUUCCUUUGUACAUCCGAGAUGGUGUUCACAUCAUAAGAGAAGUGAGAACCUCCUUUGUACAUCCGAGAUAACUGAUAAGUAGGUGCACGUGCACCUCUGAUCAGUCAGCUGCUCAAAUUGAUCUAGAAUCAGCAACAGCAAUUCUAUUGUGACCUGGUCUGUGGAAUCAAAUGGUAGUAGUGCCUUGCUUCAGGCAUAAGCAUAGUGCACCAAAAUGGCAAGAUUAGGUUUCUGCCUUGUUUUGUCAAGAUUUCUAGUCAUAUAAUGUAGCCACGAUUUGCCUAGACACUGAAGAAAUUGUAGCAGAACCAGUAAAUGACAUCCAAGAGUCCUUAUUUACAA